rnacentral:tRNA from 1 species
GGGGUUGUGGCUUAGCAGUACAGUGCUCGCCUGGCAUGCGUGAGGCCCUGGGUUCGAUCCUCAGCACCA